rnacentral:rRNA from 1 species
UACGGGGGGGGCAAGCGUUGUUCGGAAUUACUGGGCGUAAAGGGCUCGUAGGUGGCCAACUAAGUCAGACGUGAAAUCCCCGGGCUUAACCUGGGAACUGCAUUUGUGACUGCAUAGCUAGAGUACGGUAGAGGGGGAUGGAAUUCCGCGUGUAGCAGUGAAAUUCGUAGAUAUCAGGAGGAACACCGGUGGCGAAGGCGGCUAUCUGGACGGUCACUGACGCUGAGAUGCGAAAGCGUGGGGAGCAAACAGG